rnacentral:lncRNA from 1 species
UGUUCAAAGGUCUCGGCCUGAGCAAGGUAUCUCUGAAAUUCAUUCACAAAGAUUCUAACUUAGGUCAGGAUAUCUCCCAAUCAUGGUCAGAUUACCUUCGACUACUCUUCGAAAGUCUCAGUCCUAACCAAAAUAUCUCUGAGAUUUGUUUAUAGAGGUCCUAACUUGGGUCAAGAUAUCUCCCCAUUGUCAGUGCUUU